UUGGUUGAUCCUGCCAGUAGUGUAUGCUUCUCCUAAAGACUAAGCCAUGCAUGCCCUGAAUAAGAGGAAGCAAUUCUCUCUGAAUCUGCGAACGGCUCCGCAAACCAGUUGUAAACUAGAGCAAGCAAGCCUGGCGGGCUUCGGCCUCCAGGUGAUAUGGAUAACCCUGGUAAUUCUGAGGCUAAUACAUGACCGCAAAACCGGGCAGCCCAGCAAUGGAUGCUCGGGGAUGUGCGAUAUGGCUUGACAAUAACCGGGAAAGGACGCACACUCAGACCGCGCUAAAAAGGAUCGGGACUCUUUUCGGAGAACCUGGCCCCUGCGGCUCUUGCUGUGUGCUUCUGACCUAUCAACUAGACGGCAGCGUAAUGGACAUGCUAUGGUGACAACGGGUACAGAGGAUUAGGGUUCGAUCCUGGAGAGUGGGCCUGAGAGAUUGCUCAUACUUCUAAGGAAGGCAGCAGGCGCGCAA
rnacentral:rRNA from 1 species